rnacentral:rRNA from 1 species
GAGUUUGAUCCUGGCUCAGGACGAACGCUGGCGGCGUGCCUAAUACAUGCAAGUAGAACGCUGAAGGAGGAGCUUGCUUCUUUGGAUGAGUUGCGAACGGGUGAGUAACGCGUAGGUAACCUGCCUGGUAGCGGGGGAUAACUAUUGGAAACGAUAGCUAAUACCGCAUAAGAGUAGAUGUUGCAUGACAUUUGCUUAAAAGGUGCACUUGCAUCACUACCAGAUGGACCUGCGUUGUAUUAGCUAGUUGGUGGGGUAACGGCUCACCAAGGCGACGAUACAUAGCCGACCUGAGAGGGUGAUCGGCCACACUGGGACUGAGACACGGCCCAGACUCCUACGGGAGGCAGCAGUAGGGAAUCUUCGGCAAUGGACGGAAGUCUGACCGAGCAACGCCGCGUGAGUGAAGAAGGUUUUCGGAUCGUAAAGCUCUGUUGUAAGAGAAGAACGAGUGUGAGAGUGGAAAGUUCACACUGUGACGGUAUCUUACCAGAAAGGGACGGCUAACUACGUGCCAGCAGCCGCGGUAAUACGUAGGUCCCGAGCGUUGUCCGGAUUUAUUGGGCGUAAAGCGAGCGCAGGCGGUUAGAUAAGUCUGAAGUUAAAGGCUGUGGCUUAACCAUAGUAGGCUUUGGAAACUGUUUAACUUGAGUGCAAGAGGGGAGAGUGGAAUUCCAUGUGUAGCGGUGAAAUGCGUAGAUAUAUGGAGGAACACCGGUGGCGAAAGCGGCUCUCUGGCUUGUAACUGACGCUGAGGCUCGAAAGCGUGGGGAGCAAACAGGAUUAGAUACCCUGGUAGUCCACGCUGUAAACGAUGAGUGCUAGGUGUUAGACCCUUUCCGGGGUUUAGUGCCGUAGCUAACGCAUUAAGCACUCCGCCUGGGGAGUACGACCGCAAGGUUGAAACUCAAAGGAAUUGACGGGGGCCCGCACAAGCGGUGGAGCAUGUGGUUUAAUUCGAAGCAACGCGAAGAACCUUACCAGGUCUUGACAUCCCUCUGACCGCUCUAGAGAUAGAGUUUUUCCUUCGGGACAGAGGUGACAGGUGGUGCAUGGUUGUCGUCAGCUCGUGUCGUGAGAUGUUGGGUUAAGUCCGCAACGAGCGCAACCCCUAUUGUUAGUUGCCAUCAUUUAGUUGGGCACUCUAGCGAGACUGCCGGUAAUAACCGGAGGAAGGUGGGGAUGACGUCAAAUCAUCAUGCCCCUUAUGACCUGGGCUACACACGUGCUACAAUGGCUGGUACAACGAGUCGCAAGCCGGUGACGGCAAGCUAAUCUCUUAAAGCCAGUCUCAGUUCGGAUUGUAGGCUGCAACUCGCCUACAUGAAGUCGGAAUCGCUAGUAAUCGCGGAUCAGCACGCCGCGGUGAAUACGUUCCCGGGCCUUGUACACACCGCCCGUCACACCACGAGAGUUUGUAACACCCGAAGUCGGUGAGGUAACCGUAAGGAGCCAGCCGCCUAAGGUGGGAUAGAUGAUUGGGGUGAAGUCGUAACAAGGUAGCCGUAUCGGAAGGUGCGGCUGGAUCACC